rnacentral:rRNA from 1 species
UAGAGUUUGAUCCUGGCUCAGGAUGAACGCUAGCUACAGGCUUAACACAUGCAAGUCGAGGGGCAGCAUGGUCUUAGCUUGCUAAGGCCGAUGGCGACCGGCGCACGGGUGAGUAACACGUAUCCAACCUGCCGUCUACUCUUGGACAGCCUUCUGAAAGGAAGAUUAAUACAAGAUGGCAUCAUGAGUCCGCAUGUUCACAUGAUUAAAGGUAUUCCGGUAGACGAUGGGGAUGCGUUCCAUUAGAUAGUAGGCGGGGUAACGGCCCACCUAGUCUUCGAUGGAUAGGGGUUCUGAGAGGAAGGUCCCCCACAUUGGAACUGAGACACGGUCCAAACUCCUACGGGAGGCAGCAGUGAGGAAUAUUGGUCAAUGGGCGAGAGCCUGAACCAGCCAAGUAGCGUGAAGGAUGACUGCCCUAUGGGUUGUAAACUUCUUUUAUAAAGGAAUAAAGUCGGGUAUGGAUACCCGUUUGCAUGUACUUUAUGAAUAAGGAUCGGCUAACUCCGUGCCAGCAGCCGCGGUAAUACGGAGGAUCCGAGCGUUAUCCGGAUUUAUUGGGUUUAAAGGGAGCGUAGAUGGAUGUUUAAGUCAGUUGUGAAAGUUUGCGGCUCAACCGUAAAAUUGCAGUUGAUACUGGAUAUCUUGAGUGCAGUUGAGGCAGGCGGAAUUCGUGGUGUAGCGGUGAAAUGCUUAGAUAUCACGAAGAACUCCGAUUGCGAAGGCAGCCUGCUAAGCUGCAACUGACAUUGAGGCUCGAAAGUGUGGGUAUCAAACAGGAUUAGAUACCCUGGUAGUCCACACGGUAAACGAUGAAUACUCGCUGUUUGCGAUAUACUGCAAGCGGCCAAGCGAAAGCGUUAAGUAUUCCACCUGGGGAGUACGCCGGCAACGGUGAAACUCAAAGGAAUUGACGGGGGCCCGCACAAGCGGAGGAACAUGUGGUUUAAUUCGAUGAUACGCGAGGAACCUUACCCGGGCUUAAAUUGCAGAUGAAUUACGGUGAAAGCCGUAAGCCGCAAGGCAUCUGUGAAGGUGCUGCAUGGUUGUCGUCAGCUCGUGCCGUGAGGUGUCGGCUUAAGUGCCAUAACGAGCGCAACCCUUGUUGUCAGUUACUAACAGAUUCCGCUGAGGACUCUGACAAGACUGCCAUCGUAAGAUGUGAGGAAGGUGGGGAUGACGUCAAAUCAGCACGGCCCUUACGUCCGGGGCUACACACGUGUUACAAUGGGGGGUACAGAGGGCCGCUACCACGCGAGUGGAUGCCAAUCCCCAAAACCUCUCUCAGUUCGGACUGGAGUCUGCAACCCGACUCCACGAAGCUGGAUUCGCUAGUAAUCGCGCAUCAGCCACGGCGCGGUGAAUACGUUCCCGGGCCUUGUACACACCGCCCGUCA